rnacentral:rRNA from 1 species
UACGUAGGGGGCUAGCGUUGUCUGGAAUCAUUGGGCGUAAAGCGCGCGUAGGCGGCCAGAUAAGUCCGGUGUGAAAGUCACAGGCUCAACCUGUGAAUGCCGCUGGAAACUGUCUGGCUCGAGUCCGGGAGGGGCGAGUGGAAUUCCUGGUGUAGCGGUGAAAUGCGCAGAUAUCAGGAGGAACACCAAUGGCGAAGGCAGCACUCUGGGACGGUACUGACGCUGAGACGCGAAAGCCGUGGGGAGCAAACAGG